UACGUAGGCAGCAAGCGUUGUUCGGAAUUACUGGGCGUAAAGAGUGUGUAGGCGGUGCUCUAAGUUCGGUGUGAAAUCUCCCGGCUCAACUGGGAGGGUGCGCCGGAAACUGGAAUGCUUGAGCGUGGGAGAGGAAAGCGGAAUACCUGGUGUAGAGGUGAAAUUCGUAGAUAUCAGGUGGAACACCAGUGGCGAAGGCGGCUUUCUGGACGAUAACUGACGCUGAGACGCGAAAGCGUGGGGAGCAAACAGG
rnacentral:rRNA from 1 species